AGUGAACGCUGGCGGUAGGCCUAACACAUGCCAGUCGAACGGCAGCACAGUAAGAGCUUGCUCUUACGGGUGGCGAGUGGCGGACGGGUGAGGAAUACAUCGGAAUCUACUUUUUCGUGGGGGAUAACGUAGGGAAACUUACGCUAAUACCGCAUACGACCUACGGGUGAAAGCAGGGGAUCUUCGGACCUUGAGCGAUUUAAUGAGCCGAUGUCGGAUUAGCUAGUUGGCGGGGUAAAGGCCCACCAAGGCGACGAUCCGUAGCUGGUCUGAGAGGAUGAUCAGCCACACUGGAACUGAGACACGGUCCAGACUCCUACGGGAGGCAGCAGUGGGGAAUAUUGGACAAUGGGCGCAAGCCUGAUCCAGCCAUACCGCGUGGGUGAAGAAGGCCUUCAGGUUGUAAAGCCCUUUUGUUGGGAAAGAAAAGCAGCAGGUUAAUACCCCGCUGUUCUGACGGUACCCAAAGAAUAAGCACCGGCUAACUUCGUG
rnacentral:rRNA from 1 species